rnacentral:rRNA from 1 species
AGCGAACGCUGGCGGCAGGCUUAACACAUGCAGGUCGAACGCCCCGCAAGGGGAGUGGCAGACGGGUGAGUAACACGUGGGAACGUACCCUUUGGUUCGGAAUAACUUGGGGAAACUCAAGCUAAUACCGGAUAAGCCCUUAUGGGGAAAGGUUUACUGCCGAAGGAUCGGCCCGCGUCUGAUUAGCUAGUUGGUGAGGUAAUGGCUCACCAAGGCGACGAUCAGUAGCUGGUCUGAGAGGAUGAUCAGCCACACUGGGACUGAGACACGGCCCAGACUCCUACGGGAGGCAGCAGUGGGGAAUAUUGGACAAUGGGGGCAACCCUGAUCCAGCCAUGCCUCGUGCGCGAUGACGGUCUUCGGAUUGUAAAGCGCUUUGAGUGGGGACGACGAUGACGGUGCCCACAGAACAAGUCACGGCUAACUUCGUGCCAGCCGCCGCUGUAA